rnacentral:rRNA from 1 species
AGAGGUCACGGCAAGACCAGCCGUUAUUUACGAUAGGUGCCAGGUACAAGCGCAGCAAUGUGUGUAGCCGAGGCAUCCUAACAGACCGAGAGGUUUGAAC